UGCUUAUGAGUUUGAGCGCCAUGCUGGUUGUAAGACAAAACACCCUAAUAAUCAUAUAUACUUUGAAAAUGGGAAGACAAUCUAUGGGAUUGUUCAGGAGCUCAGGAACACACCUCAGGAUUUAUUAUUUGAAGUUAUUCAGACAAUUACUGGAUCGUCUAUUAACCAAAAAUCAUUUCGCAUCUGGAAAGAAUCUUUUCUAGCUGCGACACGUGAACUUCAGCGUAUAUAUGGGAAGGAUGAGGUCAGGCAACUGUCAUAAAGAGGAAUCCAUAUGCAAGAUUGACAACCAAAGUGAACACUUGGCCGGUUCAAAGAGACUGUAUUUCUCCUUUUGCUAUUCGCCUCUUAUAGUUGAUGACUCUGUUAUCGCCGUGAUCCUUGGUAAUAAUUCUUGUCAGAGAAAUUAUGGCUGUAUAUUAUAUCUUUCGUUUGGUUGUACAUUUUGUUAACAGAUGUAUGUAAAUUAGAAGUACAUAAGUUUUUGCGCGCUGGUUAAUUCAAUGAGAAUCUAUGUUUUAGAAAUUUCCCUGAGUGAUGUAUGUAGGUAUCGUAGUUUUGUGCCUGACCAUCGGAUAUGCAGUGGAGUAUCCUACAUUUCUUUUUUA